UGAAGUAAGUAAGGGCGUACGGUGAAUGCCUUGGUGCCAACAGGCGAAGAAGGACGCGGCAAGCUGCGAAAAUCCUCGGGAAGCUGCAAGCAAGCGAUGAUCCGGGGGUAUCCGAAUGGGGUAACCUGAUCGAGGCAAUACUCGAUCGUUCAUACCUGAAUACAUAGGGUAUGAAACGCGAAACCCGCUGAAGUGAAACAUCUCAGUAAGCGGAGGAAAAGAAAGAGAAAUCGAUUCCGUAAGUAGUGGCGAGCGAAAGCGGAUGGAGCCCAAACCGAAGGUACUCCUUCGGGGUUGUAGGACCACGAGAUAUUCGACCAUACUGGAUAGUAGAACAGCCUGGAAAGGCUGGCCGUAGAAGGUGAAAGCCCUGUAGACGAAAUCCAGCGUGGGAAUUAGUGGGAUCCUGAGUAAUACAUCACACGUGGAACGAUGUAUGAAUCAGCGCGGACCACCGCGCAAGGCUAAAUACUAGUUGGCGACCGAUAGUGAACAAGUACCGCGAGGGAAAGGUGAAAAGAACCGCUGUGAGCGGAGUGAAAUAGAACCUGAAACCGUAUGUCUACAAAGUGUCAGAGCAGAGCAAUCUGCGAUGGCGUGCCUUUUGUUUAAUGAGUCUGCGAGUCAGUGUUUGUGGCAAGACUAAGGGCUUCCGGCCCGGAGUCGCAGCGAAAGCAAGUCCGAAUAGGGCGAAUUAAGUCGCAGGUACUGGACCCGAAGCGGAGGUGACCUACCCUUGGCCAGGUUGAAGCAUGGGUAAAACCAUGUGGAGGACCGAACAGGUGAACGUUGAAAAGUUCUCUGAUGAGCUGAGGGUAGGAGUGAAAGGCUAAUCAAACCCCGUGAUAGCUGGUUCUCUUCGAAAUGCAUUUAGGUGCAGCGUCACGUGCUGAUGCGCGGGGGUAGAGCACUGACAAGGCUAGGGGGCACACCCGCUUACCAAACCUUAUCAAACUCCGAAUACCGUGCAAUGGAACGUGGCAGUGAGACAGUGGGGGAUAAGCUUCAUUGUCGAGAGGGAAACAACCCAGACCAGCAGCUAAGGUGCCUAAAUAACGCUCAGUGGAAAGGAUGUGGGAUUACACAGACAGUGAGGAUGUUGGCUUAGAAGCAGCCACCAUUUAAAAAAUGCGUAAUAGCUUACUCAUCGAGUGAUCCUGCGCCGAAAAUGAUUGGCGAUCAAGCGUUAUACCGAAGCUCUGGACUUUACCUUACGGUAGAGUGGUAGAAGAGCGUUGCAUGCGCGUUGAAGGGUGAUGGCGACUGACCCUGGAGCACAUGCAAGUGAGUAUGCAGACAUGAGUAACGUAAAGCCGGGUGAAAUCCCCGGCCGCCGUAAACCCGAGGUUUCCAGGGCAACGUGUUUCGUCCCUGGGUUAGCCGGGACCUAAGCCGAGGCCGAGAGGCGUAGGCGAUGGAUAUCAGGUUAAUAAUCCUGAGCUCGCGACCCUUAAACUGGGGGGACGCAUGAGAAAAGAUGACUAGGUUAUUGAAUUCCGAGUUGAGUCCACGGACUCAGCGCAUCAUUGGAUCGAGUGCCAAGAAAAGCCCCAGCGUAUGCUAAGCGACCCGUACCGCAAACCGACACAGGUGGGUGGGUAGAAUAUACCAAGGCGUAAGAGUGAAACCUGGUUAAGGAACUCGGCAAAUUAGCCCCGUAACUUCGGAAGAAGGGGUGCCUGCAGCGAUGCAGGCCGCAGAGAAAUGGCCCAACCGACUGUUUAUCAAAAACACAGCACUCUGCAAAGACGCAAGUCGAAGUAUAGGGUGUGACACGUGACCAAUGCCGAAAGAUUAAGGCAAGGGGUUAGCCGCAAGGCGAAGCUCUGAACCCAAGUCCCGGUGAAUGUCGGCCGUAACUAUAACGGUCCUAAGGUAGCGAAAUUCCUUGUCGGGUAAGUUCCGACCUGCACGAAUCGUG
rnacentral:rRNA from 1 species